UACGUAGGGUGCAAGCGUUAAUCGGAAUUACUGGGCGUAAAGCGUACGCAGGCGGCUAUGUAAGACAGGUGUGAAAUCCCCGGGCUUAACCUGGGAACUGCAUUUGUGACUGCAUAGCUAGAGUCUGUCAGAGGGGGGUGGAAUUCCACGUGUAGCAGUGGAAUGCGUAGAGAUGUGGAGGAACACCGAUGGCGAAGGCAGCCCCCCUGGGAUAAGACUGACGCUCAUGUACGAAAGCGUGGGGAGCAAACAGG
rnacentral:rRNA from 1 species